rnacentral:rRNA from 1 species
GGGAAUUCGAUUAGAGUUUGAUCCUGGCUCAGGACRAWCGCWGGMGRCGCGCCUAAUGCAUGCAAGUCGUACGGGUCUUGAGGGGGUAACUCCUCAAGCUAGUGGCAMACGGCUGAUUAACACGUAAGCGACCUGCCCCAGAGAGGGGGAUAAUCCCGAGAAAUCGGGACUAAUACCCCGUACGCUAUACAGACUACGGUCUGCAUAGGAAAAGGCUCGGGCAACCGAGUUGCUCAGGGAGGGGCUUGCGGCCUAUCAGGUAGUUGGUAAGGUAACGGCCUAYCAARCCGAAGACGGGUAMCCGGUGUGAGAGCACGACCGGUCAGAGGGGGACUGCGACACGGCCCCCACUCYUACGGGAGGCAGCAGCAGGGAAUCUUGCGCAAUGGGCUUAACGGCCWGAMGCAGYGACGCCGCGUGGAGGAAGAAGGCCUUCGGGU